rnacentral:lncRNA from 1 species
AAACAGAACUGCUGGGAGGUGGACGUGGAAGUGGAAGCUCUUGGGGCAGACAAGCUACCUGUGUUCGUCAAGGUGUUGGAGGUGCUAAAGAUCGACUUCCAAUGCCACCUUGAUGCAAUGGAUUCAUCCCGGAAGGAGAACAGGCAACCUUAAUCCUUUUUUUUAUUAGUGUUCUCACUGCAAGAUAAGUCAUGAAGAUGUUCUGUGAAAUUUUAUGCUACCUUAAUCCUUCUGUAAUCCAUGGAAGAAAGAUUAAGUAUGAUCCGUUCUCAGAAAAUUGAAUGAGACGGACUCACAUUUGCGAUCCUUUAUUGGGAAAAAGAUGCUUGGUCUGAAUUUUAGCA